rnacentral:rRNA from 1 species
CCUACGGGAGGCUGCAGUGGGGAAUAUUGGGCAAUGGGCGCAAGCCUGACCCAGCAAUGCCGCGUGAAGGAAGAAGGCUUUCGGGUUGUAAACUUCUUUGACAGGGGAAGAGCAGAAGACGGUACCCUGAAAACAAGCCACGGCUAACUAUGUGCCAGCAGCCGCGGUAAUACGUAGGUGGCAAGCGUUGUCCGGAUUUACUGGGGGUAAAGGGCGUGUAGCCGGGAAGGCAAGUCAGUGGUGAAAUCCGGGGGCUUCACCUCCGAAUUGCAUUUGAAACUAGUUUUCUUGAGUACCGGAGAGGCAGGCGGAAUUCCUUGUGUAGCGGUGAAAUGCGUAGAUAUAAGGAAGAACACCAGUGGCGAAGGCGGUCUGCUGGACAGCAACUGACGGUGAGGCGCGAAAGCGUGGGGAGCAAACAGGAUUAGAUACCCUUGUAGUC